GGCACCGUCCCGGCGCGCAGCGGCACGUCCCACCACCCUCCUCCUCUCUCCGCGCAAAUUGGGGGUUCCCCCCUCCUCCCCUUCCCCGCCAACCCGAUGCCGCCGCAUCCGUAGGGAUGCUACACGGGCCAGGGCGUGGAGGUGCGGUCCAGCGCAGAGCUGGGGACUGCCCCCCCACCGCUCCUCCGGAUCAUCGCGGCAGCGUGGGGGCUUCUUCUUUCCGGAGCCUGCCUACAGCUGCAUUGAAGACGGCAGAGGCAGCGCACAGCAAAAUAUUUGGGAUGGUCUGCAUGGGACUGGUCACCGCUGCAGCGCACGGUAUAAACACUGCAAAGCUGACUUGCUGCAUUUUUCAUCAAGCAAAAGGACAAAGGAAAAUGAUGAUUUUAUGAUCAGAAGCAGUUCCAGGAAACCUCCAUCCUUGUGCAUACACACAGUGACCACCUUGAGGAAUACAACGAGUAUGUCCACACGUUCACUUACAAUGAAGGCCCAUGAAUGUUUCUUGCCAAACAUAACCUCCUUCAGCAAACUCAAGGGCAGAGAGCACAGAGCAUAUUUGGCACAGUGGCCUGCCACUGCCCUUACUCCUGCAGAUCACUUCCAAGAAAGAAAAGAUGCAAAGACAAAUCAAGUGAAAACAAGAAAAAUUGCAUAUUCUCCCUAGGACUGCCGCACUGCCUUCCUGAUCUGCCAAGACUUGGAAGCUGUCUUGACCUAAUGGAAAUAAGUGUGUUUUUUAGUAUAAGGACACAGAGCAUUUAGCAAAUGCCAUCCCAGCUCACUUUGGACUGUUCCUUGCAUCCUGCUGUGCAUCAGCUGGCAGGUAAACAGCAAAGAUCAGUUCACCCUCUACAGUAAAUGAAUUAAUGUGCUUCCUAAAAAGUGCAGUGAGCAUAAUGUGAACUAAGAGCCUGGUGGUCAGAGAAAGCAUUUCUGCCCAAAAUGGACCCAAAUGACUCCCUCCUGAUGCAAGCUGCUAGGAUCAGGGAGCAUUUUAAUCAGCUUUCAGAUCUGGUCAUCGGCAGCAGAUACUGUACCAUACCUACAAACCACAGUGACACAGCAAGUGACUUCAGCUGCUUCUUGUAGCAACUGCAAGAACAAUCUGUGGCCACACUCCAGAAGGAUGGAGCAGCCACAGGGAAUAAUAAUCUUCAGAUGCACCAGUCAGUCCUCUCACUCUGGCUCCCUCUUCACCUUAUCACCACUUCCAAAAAUAGGUUGCAGAUUGUACAGAAAGGACGUGGCUGAGGAGAUACUGUUCCUGGAACUCUGAAUUUCUACUUCAGCUGUCCUUGAGCCUCCACAAAAUAUUAGACUUAUGCCAACCCUUUAUCCAUGGAGUGCAGCACACUCCAGCCUGUUGGACACUAGAGCUAUGAGCACAGAUAUUUGCUGCUCUAGCAGUCCAUUUUCCCACCAGUGAGUGUCUAUACCUCUUCCUCGGCAUCGAUGGAGUAGUACAUCAUGGACAGAGGAGAUGUGCUUUGCCAUAUCCCAGGCUACAUUGCUCAGAAGAACACACAAAGAUCCUUUAACUGAAGAGCUAAGAUACUUCCAAGAUUGUGCUUGUUAGGCUGGACAAGGAUAGAAAAAAAAAAAAAGAAAAAUAAAAAAAGACAGAAAGAAACCACUCCCACCUUCUUCUUUUGAAAGAAUUAUGAUAAGUAAUGUAAUUCUCAUGUCUCAAUGAAAAACAUCUCUGUGAGUCAAAUUUGAAAAGAAAGCUUUUUUCCAGGAUGAUGCUACUUUUUUUUUCCCUUUUGCCUUAACAUGGCUCUAAAAAUCCAGUGGGGAUGCAGUUGGGUUCAAGGGCUCCAAUAGAUGCCAGGUCUUACAUCACCAUUGCUGUCUCCCAGCUUGUUACUGGGUUAUCUAUUGUCAGAUGGGAAUUUAUUGAAGGUGACAUUGCUUACAAAUUGAUCAAAAUCAGCUUCAGUGAGGUGUCCUUCCAAGAUAUAAAAAGAUGGAUAAAAUUCACUCAGUUGAUCAUUAAUAACUUCAGUCUGUGAAAUUGGUUAUCUCCCUUUGACAGACGAAAUAGAGUUUGCAGAUUGAACUGUUUUAAUCCUAUCUGAGAAGAAAUAUGACAGCCCUUCAAAUAUAUACCCAAUUAACUAUGUCUCUACCUUUUCAAUAAAACUAAUUCAAACAAA